GCGUCGCAUCCAAAGACAUCACCAUUCGCGAGGACCCUCUCAUCCAAGCAAGACUCCAUCUCCCGAAACUCGAACCUGUUAACGAACAGCCUGAGAAGCUCCCCAUCUUGGUCUACUAUCACGGUGGCGGCUUCUGCAUCGAAUCUGCCUUCUCUCUGGUCGAGCAUCAGUAUCUCACCACCCUUGUCGCAGAAGGCAAGAUACUCGCCGUCUCCAUUGAGUACAGGUUUGUUCUAAUUUAUACACAGAGAAACUUCAAGGGGACUUUUCUCCUCCAAGGUCCUCGUCUGGAGAAAAACCAGUUACUUUUUCUACUCAAUUGUUUUAUAGAGAAGGGAUUAUGUAGUUACAUUUAUAUCUUUUAAUGCUAAGAAGACGACAUGUAUGCGUAUAUAUAAAGUUUAGUUUUUGACAAUCCCAUUUUAUGUUAAGCCUAUAUUGUUAGCACCCUUGCAAAACUAAAAAUAUUAUCUUAUGUCCAUUGUCACGUUGUACCGACUAUGGUGAACAUAAGAUGUGUACAUGAGAAUUAGGUAAAAAGCUCUCACCUAUUCAACAUUGUUCAUGUAAAUUUUCUUUGUUUCCUAUAUUCUACCUCUACAAUAAGUCCGAUUGAUGAGUUUCCCCGAAAACUAGUUAAGUUAGGUAAAAAUGAUAAUGGGGUUUAUCCAUGUGAUAAAAGUGGUAAUGGUGGUUGCUUAUUUUCUCACAGGUUAGCUCCUGAAUGCCCUGUACCCACCAUCUUCGACGAUUGCUGGGAAGGCCUCCAGUGGGUGGCUUCACACUCGAUUGACAACGGUGGACCUGCCGUGAAAGAGCCGUGGCUGGCCGACCACGGCGACUUCCACCGUGUCUUCGUCGCCGGUGACAGCGCUGGAGCCACCAUUGCCCACAACGUCCUCAUGAGGGCCGGCCGCGACCCUAUAGUUGGUGGCAUGAAGAUAUCCGGCGCUUACCUGACCCACCCCUAUUUCUGGGGCUCUGAACCUAUCGGGUCAGAGCCUAAGACGGAUCACGACAAAGAGCUUCCGCACAUAGUCUGGACUUCCUUGUACCCGACGGCAAAGGGCGGAAUCGAUAGCCCGAUGAUCAACCCGUUCGUGACCGGGGCCCCGAGCCUGGCGGGCCUCGGAUGCGGGAGGUUGUUGGUGAGCGUGGCGGAGAAGGACCUACUGAGAAACAGAGGAUUGAAGUACUGCGAGGCAGUGAAGGAAAGUGGGUUCAAAGGAGAAGUGGAGUUGGUGGAGGCUGAAGGAGAAGACCACGCUUUCCAUAUCGUGACUUACGAGAAGGAGAGUGCGCAGGUCAUGAUCAAACGGUUGGCUGCUUUUCUUAACAAAACUUGCUAGUUUGUUUGCUUCCUUUUCGUCUGACUAUUUACAAGGUUGUUCUUGUGUGCUUUGCGAACGUAAGCAGUGAUGUCGCUUUUCUAUGUAUUAUAUAGACUGUUGUUGUGAUAUUUGUUACAUUUUCAAAGACCAAGUGGCAUCCCGAGUUACGAGAAGGGGAGUGCGAAGGUCAUGAUCAAACGGUUGGCUGCUUUUCUUAACAAAAGUUGCUAGCUUGUUUGCUUCCUUUUCGUCUGACUUUUUACAAGGUUGUUCUUGUGUGCUUUGGGAACGUAAGCAGUGAUGUCGCUUUUCUAUGUAUUAUAUAGACUGUUGUUGUGAUAUUUGUUACAUUUUCAAAGACCAAGUGGCAUCCCGAGAUAACUUAGGGAUCAGAAUCAUCUCGGCUCGUACGGUGGUGAAUCUGUAUGCUUAUUAGACCCAUGGAAAAACAGUCACAUCGCCUUUAGAAGAAUUCAAAAAGGUCCUCGCCAUCGAAAGCAAUGUUCAAAUAAUAUAAAAUUGAUUGUUGAAUUUGAGCAUGUUGGUUGCUGGUUCCUAGAUUUGGUUGUUGAUGUUUUUCAAAGAAAGCCUUCAUGGUACGCGCCUCAAGAAAAAUGAAGGAAACAAGAUGCAAGCAUUUAAUGAAAAAGAGCUAAUGAAGCAUGAGGAAAGAAAGAAAUCAAUAGGCGAGAUUUAUGGUGGGUCACGUGAACUUAAGAAUGAAAGUCUCAUUAAAUGCCAGCAGGGGCAUAUAAAGUAAGAGAUUAUGGGCCCCUAGAAAACUUUUUUCUUUAUUAAAUCACACGCUUAUCUUGGAGCAAAGAGUCAAGGGUACAAACAGUUUUUCGAAUAGAGAACUUCAUCUAUAAAUAAAGCACUUGUGAAGCAUUGUAAGAAAGCCACGAAACCAGAGUGAGCUCCAUAAAUAGAGUUAGAGCACGAGCAUUUGCAUUUCAAUAAAAAGUUCUCCAUCUAGUCUUCAUUGGUGCUGCUGUUCCUCAAUUUUUCACAGUUAACAUUAUUCUGUCCGCUCCAACAAGUCACUCCAAAAGCCUUGUCGGAAGACGACGCUGGUUCUGAUCCCGAUCACGUCUCCAUCGCUCCCUCGUCCACCUCAAUUACCUUGCUACCUGGUCGAACCGUUCUCAUAGUUCUUUUGAUCGAACAAACUUUUCGCCAUAAUCAUUAUUGGAUGUGAUAAGUAGGCACGACCUUGAUGCACAUGAGGGCAGCCUAUGCGAUAGCUUUCGUUCCUUUAUCAUGUAGCCUCCAAAGUGAAGUAUGUGUCACAUAUUGAUUUGAUAAUGAUGCCUCGCCUCUUACAGGAUCUUGUAUAAAACAAUUCAUCAAUUAUGUCCACGACUAGAGGUUACACAGAUUGGGAUAGUGUCCCCACUUUGGUCCUUGAAAGUUUGGUAGCGUCUAGCUUUCGAAAAGAUUGAAAUGAGAAUUGUCGUUACUAAUUCUCUAAUAUAACCGACUCCUUGGAGAAGAGGAGACUUGUGGCUCCGAAGAUCCCUAGUACUUAUGAAACGAGCUUCUAUGUGGCUUCUUGAGGUGGGAACAAUCGUCCCCACUUUUGUGCAGGGAAAAACUACUAAAGCCUCUUCCCAUGAGUCUUAUAUCAGUUUCGAUUAUUUUACUCCUUCACAGGUGAAAUAAUUGAGACUGAACCAUCAAUUGAGUAAGAACAGCCCAUUGAACUAGUUGAGCCAAUUGAGUAGGGGUGAUCGGUUCCCGGUUCGGUCCGGUUCCACCCAAGAACCGGGAACCGGACCGGGAGGACCGGUUCCCACUUUUCUGGACCGUGGACCGGACCGGCUAUCUUGGAACCGAGAACCGGACCGGACCGGUUCCAAUGAACCAUCACUUGUUUUCAUUUCAUUUAACAAAAAAAUAAAUAGUAAUUACUAGUAAAGUAAUGCACGAGAUUAUGAUCCGGUCAAGUUUUUUUAUUCACUUUGUGACCAACAAAGUGACGCCCUAUUAAAUUAAAAGCGUCAACUUUGUGGAAACAAAGAGAGCCAAGAGAUUGAAAUCCCCUAACAAGGCGCGCUCUUACCCACACCAAAAUGCGCGGAGGAGACGAAAGCCAAUCACCCACCGCCCCCGCCCCCCCAAAUGCGACAUCAAUACAACACAAUCGCAUGUCGGAAACAAACGAAGAUGGGACUACAGAGUAUAAAUGAUCAAACAACGAAGCCGCGCAGCAAUGAAAACAUAGCAAAAGAGCUGAUCGAGGACGAGACUCGGGACUCACCUCAAAGAACAAGAGGGCCUUGGGAAUCGUCGGGGCAACGACGGGAGUCGGGAGAGAGCGAAGAGAUGAUGACGCUGUGGGGAGGAACUAGGAAGGGUUUGGGAAAAUGAAAGUUGAAUCGAAUUACCGCCGAGUUGGAUCACAAAAAUUGAGAAAAUAUAAGUUGAUGUGAUGGUUACUGUAUAUUAAAGCAGAAACUAACAAAAAAAAGAGAGAGGGGUUUAGCCGUUCAUUUAGGUUUCAAGAGGGAAAGGCAAGUGAGGAGAAUUGCAAAAAUUUGGAAAAUAAAAGCUGAUGUGAUGGUUACUGUUAAGUGUAGUUCAGAAACAAAAAAGGGGAGGGAUUAUUAGCUUUGGGUUAUGAGAGAAGAAAUGAAUAUGAUGGUAGUGGGUACUAUAAAUUAUUUCAGAAAUUAAAAUAUAUAUAAAUGGUCGGUCCGGUCCGGUCCGGUUCCGACCUCGAAACCGGGAACCGGACCAACCGGUCACCGGUUCCAAAAAUAGGAACUUGAGACUGGACCGAGACCCUCUAGGACAGCCCGAAACCGACCGGUCCGGUCCGGUCUGGCCGGUUCCCGGUUCGGGCAGUUUCCGUUGCACACCCCUACAAUUGAGCAAGAAUAGCUGGUCCUACUUCAAGUCAAAAGAUCCGAAAGAGAACGUUGACAUUUACAAAGAUAUCAAUUGCUCCGGUAUGUGUUACUCACUGAUGCAAAAUGAUCUAAAACUUAUGAAGAGAUUAUGUCAUGUGAUUAAAAGAAUGAGUGGCAUGAAACUAUGCAAGAGGAGUUCAAAUCCUUAUAUGAAAAUCACACAUUUAAAUUAGUGAAUUUGCACUCACAAUAAGUAGAUGUACAGGUUGAAGAUGGAAGAAAAUAAUUUACAAUCAUGAUACAAUGCUAAGUUUGUUGUGAAAAACUUUAGUCAAAAGAAAAUAAUUAACUUUGAAGAGAUUUUUCACUGCUUGAUAAAAAUAUUUCAUCAUAACUCAAAUUUCCAAACACCUGAGCUUAAACGGUGGAUUCAAUCCGAACCCCUUUUCUCGUUAGAGGGUUUUUCUGUGAGAUAUAGGAAUCUCCGCAUGUGCUCCUGUUUCGAUGUCGUAUGCUCUGAUCUUAUGCAAGCGGACAACGUUAGGAAGCGGUUGAAAAGCGAGACAAAAUUGCUGUGGAGCCGUACGAUCUCGUCGGGGAGGGGGGAUAGGAGAUGGGGCCCCACGACCAGCUCCACCAUCUCGGGAACCAAGGGCCGAGAUCUCUCAACUCCACCAUCUCGCGUGCGGACAGUCCGUACGGCCGAUAAUCAAGCUGGUAUAGCUGAAAAUGGUGCUUGUUUGAUUCCACUGUUUUUUUUUUUUUGGGUAAAGACUUGUUUGAUUCCACUGUUGAAGCUUCUUGAUUCCAAAAAAUGGGUCUUUACAGCAUAAUGCUUUUGCCCCUUAUGGACUCGCAGACAAUGAGGUAACACCUGCGAAGUUUAAGCAAAGCCGAAAUUUGACAAUGCUCCCCACUCAAUCUCCAAAAAAGAUGGCACUGUUGAAGUUUUCUUGUUCAAAAGGAUGUGGUUCAAGCUAGUUAUUAUAACCUAGGAAGUAUUGACAUUCCUUGAGAGUUUUUGUGUCGUGUCGCAAUCCGACACUUUCAAACACUCUUGGGACCGGGUGUUUGUGAAAAACUCUUUCCAUGUCUCUCUAAAUACAUUUUCUUCUCUGGCCCAGUAGAUCCUAUAAGAAAUGCAGUUUGGCUAGUUAAAAAAUUACCAUCCUAGCACGCUUGAAUGUCUAUGCUCUGAACUAAAUUUCUAGGUAGUUUGCCACUAAAAGGCUAUCUCUAAAGGACUCGAGCAGAGGUUCGCCCACUAUGGGAAGGCAUACUUGCAGUAACUUACAUAGUUUUCCCUAAUUCUAAGUAUAGAUCCUCUCAUUGGUACCAGAGCAUAAAUAAGUUUCCAAUACCUGACCGACACGUAUCGAAAAAUCCAACGUCUGAUCAACUUUCGUGACAUUCUUCGACAUUCAAGUUGGAAUGAUAUGUGAGUUUCCAACAUGAUUCCAACACACGAGAUCAAAUUUAAAAUUUUUCAAUAAAUAAGUGGCUAAAAUGUGUGUGUGUGUGUGUGUGUGUAAAGAACAAUAAUAAAAAUAAAAAAUUGGAAAAGCAGAAAAUCUAAUCUUUUUUUUCUCUUCUAACUCUUACUUCUUGUAGUACACAAUUUCACCCCCAAGUUUUUUUUUUUCUCUUCUCUUCCAACAAGUCUGACAUGCGAGUCCAAAAUAUGGAUUACUUGUUUUUUCUCCAAAUUUUAUGAAUUAUUGGAAUAUAGUUAAAUUUGUCAAAUUGAAAUAAUUAAUGAUAUUAAUAAAUGAUUAAUUAAUUUUUUUAGUGUAAAUUCAUUUUAGGAUCUUUUAUUAUUUAUUUAUUUAUGAAUUUGAAUCAAAUUAAUUUGAUUGAAAUAAUCAUAAAAAUGAUAAUUUAUUAUGUAUAUAUAAAAAUAUAUAUUUAAUAUAUAACGUAUCUCAACAUGUUGGAAUUCUCUAUUUUUUGAGCAACGAAGUGUUGGCGUGUCGUGUCGUAUUAUAUCGUAUAUUGCGUGUCAGUAUCGGUGCUACUUAUGUUAUAACCGCUAUGCAUCUUUUGUGCAGGACAAUGUUUCUGAUUUUGUUAGGGUAGGAGGUGUUCAAAAGAUGCAAGAUGGAGAAUUUAUCGUCCAGGUGGGUAGGAGAAGGGUUAAAUCGCAUUGUAUUUAGAAUUACUUUUCACACAAAGCAUAAUAUGAGUGCAAUCGACAACAUGUUUGCAAGCUACAGAGGUUUGUGUUGCCAAAACUUUGAAAAGAUUAGAGAAGAAGAUUCAUGGCCGAGUGAGAAUCUUAAUUUCGUAGUCUCAUACUCCUUUGAACUGGACUCGGUAUUGUUCUCAAUGAUUUUAUGUUUCUCUUUUUGUUGGGUACAUAAAUGGAAGGAGUUCUUUCUGUUUUUUUCUCGCCCUGCUAGGCUUUAAUAUGUUGCUUUCUUUGUGCAGCUUUUGAAUCAAUUACUACAUUUGAUGCGCGUACCAGAGAAGACUGUUCAAAGACGUGUUCCUUUGGCUCUUGCUCAUCUCUGUUCUCCAGAUGACCAGCAAACAAUUUUUGUAGAUGACAAUGGUCUGUGAUGCGCUCUCUCUCUCUCUCUCCCUCUUUCUCUCAAUACUUCUAUAAUUAGGACUGGCUUAUUGUCUUUUUACUUUUAAGCUGUCAUAGUAUCUGAUUACUCUGUAUUCUCUGAAGGGUUGGAGGUGCUUGUUGGCCUGCUUAUUUGUUCGAGCCCUCGGCAGCAACUCGAUGGUGCUGUGGCAUUGUUCAAGUUAGCUAACAAAGCAAUGUCUCUUUCUCCCGUUGAUGCAGCGCCUCCCUCUCCAACGCCACAGGUCACUGGCCAUCCAAUGUAUGUAAGGUUUUGUGUGUGCAAAAGAUCUUUGUCAGCAGCAUUGUUUCAUUACAUAGUCCGGGAGCGGCAUGUGAACAACCCUACCCUGUCCGAUGUAACAUUUCUAGUUGGAGGUUCCCGAAAAUUGUCGUGCUCUGCAGUAAGUGCAAAAGAUCUAUGUCAGCAGCAUCUAAUGUGUGCUUGAUUUUCUCAUAAAUUGCCUUUUGUUUCAUUACAUAGUCCGGGAGGAUUGACCCGUUCUAUUUCUUUUUCUCUUUCAAAGUUUUCAAAUAUAUGUGUGUGUGUGUGUGUGUGUGUGUGUGUGUGUGUUAUUAUUUGCCUAGAAAGGAGUCUUUUGUGCAUAUGAGUAUUUUUAGAUCUGCUCUGGAAAAUAAAAUUUCAUCCAGUGCUUAAAAACUUUCUCACUGCAGGUUUAUCUAGGGGAGCAGUAUGUGAACAACCCUACCCUGUCCGAUGUAACAUUUCUAGUUGGAGGUUCCUGAAAAUUGUCGUGCUCUGUUUCGUUAGUGACUGUCUCGUACAUUGAUCAUGCAUAAAUAAAUUGUGAUUGCCUUCUGAAGCUGGGAUUCCCAGGAUAGGAUGGUUUCGGAUGGGCACGAUUCGGAAAAAUUUUAAUUUUUUUUUAAAAUUAUCUAUGUCAAUAAUUUCAAGCUAAAAUUAGUUGGAAAUAUUACAUUGAUAAUUCGAUGAAAAGUUUAUGAUUAAAUUAUCAAAUUUCUCAAAAAGGGUAUAAUUAAAUUGACAUAAUUGAAAAGUUUAGGAUUGAAUUAGUAAAUUAUCAAAAGAUUUAAUAUUUAAUUGAUCAAAAUCCUAUGUUGCUUGACCUUAAGCCUAGAAUAGAUCGUCCCAGAAAUCUCGGGUUUUAACACCAACAAAGUUUGGCAAAUGAGGAAACUCUUUGGGCCAUGAAAGCUAGAACCAAGUAAGGAUUCUUGAGGGGGAAGGCAAUGCUAGAUUUUAUCAUGCCUGCACCAUUGCUAACAGUUCCGCUCUGAAAGAUGCCGUGGGGAAUUGGGUAGGGCUAUAAUUGAUGUGGUUACUAUUCAUUUCAGAAAACUGUUCUGUACUGGAGAGAACUCGUUGUCUUUGUGAACCUGAGCUUCUCGUGAUGCAAAGUAAUGUUUUAUCUGUACAGGGUACAAGCAUCACGAUGUUCUCGGGGGCAAAAGAGGAAAUUAAGAAUGCGCUUUGAAAUCUCAAACUGCACAAAGCACCUACACCGGACGGGCUCUAUGAUUUUUCUUUUCUGGAAGCGCCGCGUUUGGCGAGGGAUUCUUUUUGGGAGAUCGUUAGAGCGAUUUUUCGAAGUGGCGUUGUCCCUGAUGGCAUUAACGUAUAGUUUGCUUAAUCUUUCCUAAGAAACAAGAUCCUGAAGAUCUCAAUCACUUUAGACCUUUUCUCUUAUGUCACGCAUCUUGCGUGAUAGUGAAAGGGUUCUAGUUCAAAGACCGAGACCUAUUCUGGAUGCGUAAGUCCUUACAGGGCAGAAUAAAAUGGCAGGAAGACUAAAGAGUAAAAAGAGUCUCGUGUCAAUAAAAAUUAAUAUGACAAAACCUUAUAAUAGAAUGGAAUGAAACAUUGUUACAAGGGCUGCAGCAGCUCUGGUUGAAGCACAUGUUUGGAGAAGCCAAUCGGCGCGCGGGCUCCAUGCCAAAGCUAGGUCGACAUCGAUAGGGACGAAUGCAGUGCGAUGUGCCCCCAUCCAAAUUAUGCACUUUUAGGUAACCACCUCUAAAGUUGUUUGGACUCCUCUUAACGUGGAAGUGGAUGGGAGCCGGGACACUGGGUGCGUUUGGAAUCAGCUUUGCAAGGGACUUUGGGCUUCUAAAGACACUUGGGCUAAAGCUAGGGUGUUUGGGAACAAUCUUGGAAUUUCCAUUAGGCCAAAGCUGGCCUUCCCAAGGCUGAAAGCCUAAGGCAGGUGAAGGGGUGCCUUUGCCUUGGGCUUUCAGCUUUCUCGGCAUACAAGUGACACUGUUCACUUUUUUUUUUUUUUUUUUUUUUUUUUUUUUUUUUUUAUUUUCUUCCAAAAAUAUCCUCAGCUACUCUUAUUUUUUCGGUUUUGCCCUCGUUGUUGUACUGUUCAUCUUCUUGUCCGUUGAAGGCGGAGGACGUGUUCCUAGAAGAUGUGAGUGAGUGGCCGCCGACGGCUCAGCAUGGUUGCGGUGGCCCAGCGACCGUCGCCGGGGAGAGGUGGGACCGCCGCCCUGUCUGGGUCGCGGCGAUCGCUGUGGGUCGCGGCGAGGUUCGGGUUCCCGCCCCCGCCGCGACCCAGAUCCGAGGGCGGCGAGGUUCUCCCGCGACCUCGCCGCCCCAGAUCUUGGUCACGGCGGUUGCCGGAGGUCGCGCGAGGAUCUGGGUCGCGGCGAGGUUCUCCCGCGACCUCGCCGCCCCAGAUCUUGGUCACGGCGGUUGCCGGAGGUCGCGCGACCUCGCCGCGACCCAGAUCCGGGGGCAGCGCGGUCGCGUGACCCCGCCGCGACCUAGAUCUGGGGCCGCAAGGUCGCGGGGACCUCGCCGCCCCAGAUCUGGGUCGCGGCGGGGUCGCCCGACGUCCGGAGACCCUCGCCGAUGGUUUUCAGUGGUCGCCCGACGUCCGGCGACCCUCUGUGAUGGUCUUCAGUGGUCGCCCGACGUCCGGCGACCCUCGCCGAUGGUCUUCAAUGGUCGCCCGACGUCCGGCGACCCUCGCCGGUGGUCUUCAGUUGACGUCCGGCAGCCACUUGCCCUUCCCGGCCAUCUGCCCUUCCGGUCAAUUUUUUAUUUAUUUUUCUUUUGAUAAUUUUUUUUAUCACCAAAGCAAUUUGCAAAUAUAAUUCCUCCAAACACCAUUUUGCUCAAAGAUACUUCAAAUGGGCUUUCAAACUACAAUUUUACCAAACACACUUUGCAUUUUGGAAAAUACGUUAAACUCAAAGGUCUUUGCAUUUUGCUAAGGACUUUUCCCAAAAGCGUUCCCAAACGCACCCACUGUCUAAGUAGUGGGGGUCGUGAUGUUUUUCUUGGUUCUACCUAAAAAAAGAAGAAAAUACAAGAAGCCCGCGUUUGUAAUCAUUAAAAAGUUGGAAAAAAGCCUUACUUUUAUAAAGCAUAUUUCUUUGGUCCUCUUCUUUUGAUAAUUAUCUCUACUUGGUCCUAUUCUUCUGAAAAGCAUCUCUCUUUGGUCUUUUCGCAAAGAGUCGAGCCCGCCUGAAUGGAAACCAUCGCUUUCCCCUUCUGUGUCAUUUUCGUCUCGUUGCAGAGGAUACAGACGUGGGAAAAUGAUGCUGCAUCUGCCCAAAGACCUUGCAAUUUUUCCAGCGCAAACAGCUCCCCCUAUCUGUCCUUCAGGUUAUUUUCUCAUACACCAACUUAUCUCUUGAUAAUUUCCGUGUGUUUUCUAAGGAUUUUGACCACAAUAAAAAUCAAUUUUCCUUCUCGAAGAAGAUAUUAGUCAGCAAGCUAAUGCGCUUCUCCAAUCCGGGCCAACUGCUAUGUUGUUCUUUUGCCAUUUCAGCCGAACGCUCGUGCCUUGCCAAUCCUUCCUGUACUUUUGUUGAAAAUCGGUCAGAAUGUUUUGACUUAAAAGUUUUUGCCGUUAGGAAACAUGGCAAUGAUUCAUUCAUAAGGAUAUCUAAUCAAAUGUAAGACCAUGGUUAUUGGGUGAGUCGGACCUUACUGAAAAACCGAAUGUAUAGCACAUCGCGCAUUUUGACAAAAGCAUUGAAGAGACAGAUCGAGACCGAAAAGUCGACACGUUUCUCUUCCUCGAAACUAUGAGAUUGAGAGGGGAGUGUGGGCAUCUGAACUCUUGAUCCGUGCUUUGGUAUCGUGUCAAAAUGCCCAACUUAAUGGCUUUAAUCUGUUGAGGAAUGGCCCAUCGAUAUUUACAUUACUUCACGAUCGCAUAAUAAUCAGCCUAAAAAUCUCCAUUUGUUUUGGAUUUUAUUAGGAUUCAUCACGCUUUCUAACAAACAAUCAAUGUAAACCGCUCCGGCCAGAAUUCAAUUGCCGACAAAGACAAGACCGGAAGAUGAAGACUUUCUAUAAGUAUUACUCAUCUAGUCUCCUCAGAGCAUGCCUUUAUAGCCACUCCCACCAAACCUCUCUUUUCUUGUCCAUUCAAUACCCCUUUCUUUUCUCUCGUCUAAAAGCAAAACUCACGUACUAUAUCACCCACAAAAAGAAAAUUAUGUGCAGCAAAGAGGUUGAAAUAGAGCUCCCCACAUUUCUUAGGGUUUACAAGGAUGGCACGGUCGAGCGCCUCUCCGGUAAUGUCUGGUUCUGCUUCGUCUUAUUACUGAAGUUUUGUGUUUCGAUGGUGGAUGAACCCUUUUCUAGAAACAAUAAGGUUUCAUUGUAACACUCUGUCGUGAAAAGGAAGGCCAUUUUCCCCCUAAUGUGGCGAUUUGCGCGAAUUAUGUCUUUUUUUUAGCUUGGUACUCGUAAUUUCAGUAGACUUUGUCUGCAUGACAUGGUUCAAGUCGUGUGAAUCGUCGAACUUUGCUUCAUUUUCAGGCACUCCAUAUGUUCCCCCUUGCUUGGAGGACCCCAAGACCGGCGUCGCAUCCAAAGACAUUACCAUUCGCGAGGACCCUCUCAUCCGAGCAAGACUCCAUCUCCCGAAACUCGAACCUGUUAACGAGCAGCCUGAGAAGCUCCCCAUCUUGGUCUACUACCAUGGUGGCGGCUUCUGCAUUGAAUCUGCCUUCUCUCUGGUCGAGCAUCAGUAUCUCACCACCCUUGUCGCGGAAGCCAAGAUACUUGCCGUCU
rnacentral:lncRNA from 1 species